rnacentral:rRNA from 1 species
UACGGAGGGUGCGAGCGUUAAUCGGAAUUACUGGGCGUAAAGGGUGCGUAGGUGGUUUAUUAAGUUAUCUGUGAAAUUCCUGGGCUCAACCUGGGCUGGUCAGAUGAUACUGGUAGACUGGAGUAUGGGAGAGGGUGGAAGAAUUUCCGGUGUAGCGGUGAAAUGCGUAGAGAUCGGAAGGAACACCGGUGGCGAAGGCGUCCACCUGGCCUAAUACUGACACUGAGGCACGAAAGCGUGGGGAGCAAACAGG